rnacentral:lncRNA from 1 species
CGCCAUGUCAAGUGGUUGGGCAGAGUGAGUGUGGAGUCAGAGGAAAGUUAUAGUCACUGGCAGAGGCGGGAUUACAAAGGCUUUUCUCCAUCUGUGGACUGGGACACUGUAGACUUUGAUCUAGCCCCAUCAAUUCAGGAACUACCCAUCCAGUCAGCUAUCACACAGCCUCAAGAUGGGACGACUGUAGAAUCAGGAGAGACAGGGUUUCUCUGUGUAGCCCUGGCUGUCCUGGAACUCACUUUGUAGACCAAACUGCCUGCCUUAGUCUCCAGAAUCGGGGGAUUAAAGGCAUGUGCCGCCACUGCCCGUCUACAACUUUCAAUCGCCUCUGGGAUGCAAGGAGAUUUCCCUCUUAGAGUGCUUUUAAAACGAUUCCAAUAAAGUGUCUGUUUAAGACUAUGACUGGAACCUCUU